rnacentral:rRNA from 1 species
UACGGAGGGUGCAAGCGUUGUCCGGAUUUACUGGGUUUAAAGGGUGCGCAGGCGGAUAUGUAAGUCAGUGGUGAAAUCUCUAGGCUUAACCUGGAAAUUGCCGUUGAUACUAUAUAUCUUGAAUGUUGUGGAGGUAAGCAGAAUAUGUCAUGUAGCGGUGAAAUGCUUAGAUAUGACAUAGAAUACCUAUUGCGAAGGCAGCUUACUACGCAGAUAUUGACGCUCAUGCACGAAAGCGUGGGGAUCAAACAGG